rnacentral:rRNA from 1 species
UGCCAGCCGCCGCGGUAAGACGGAGGGUACAAACGUUAUCCGGAUUUAUUGGGUUUAAAGGGUGCGUAGGCGGUUUUGUAAGUCAGUAGUGAAAUCUAGCAGCUCAACUGUUAAAGUGCUAUUGAUACUGCAAGACUUGAGUAUAGUCAAGGUGGGCGGAAUUCUGCAUGUAGUGGUGAAAUACGUUGAUAUGCAGAGGAACACCGAUAGCGAAGGCAGUUCACUGGGCUAUUACUGACGCUGAGGCACGAAAGCGUGGGGAGCAAACAGGAUUAGAUA